rnacentral:lncRNA from 1 species
AUGGAUAAAGGAAAUCCAGUACAUGUAGGCCCCGGGGCUGUGUCCCCACUUGCUGGCUGCACGGGGUGGAGUCAGUGGGACCACUCGUGGCACCAAGGAUGCCUCGCCACCCUAGGAGUGAGUGUGUGUGGGCCAGUCUGCCCCAGGUGGCCCUCGGUGCUCUCCGUCACAUCACACCUGACACACAGCUGCUGCUGGGCCCCGGCAACACCUUGUGUUUCCCACGGCACUUGCAGAAUCAAGCAACGCGAAACGCAGCAGUUGCACCCUGAGCCAGGCCGCAUGCAGCAGGCCCCCUGCCCUGUGCUGGUUCCCCCAGGGGAGAAGCAACUCCCACGGACCUGGUUCCCGACAAAACAGAUUCGCUCUGCUGAUGCCAGAUGCGACCUUCCGGCCUGGGGCGAUGGGAGCAAGUUGCUGAACUUGCUGCACAGGUGGCGAACUUGGCCACCUUGGAGUCCGUGUCACUUCCCUUCAAAUACCUGUUGGCCAGCCAGUGCUUCUGAGGUGCUGAAAGUCACUGCCCCCACAGCCUCCCUGCAGUGGGCCUCCCCCACAACGGGGCCCCUACCUGCCCACCUCCCCACCCCAACCCCAUCCUGCUCCUGCCCUCCCGGUGCGGGCCUGGUGCAGAGGGGUCAGGUCAGGCCUGGCCCCCCCUGGGGUCGGAACCUCCGCUGGCUCCUGGCUCGCUCAGGAGCUCCAUGUGCCCACCCCUUCCUCAGACCCACCCCGACCCCCACCCCCUACCCGCUGCUGCCUAGCACCAGCCAGGAGCAUUUCAGGCCCAGCCCCUCUGCUCUCCUGCACAGGUGCCGCCAGGUGGCCCUGGGUCCCAGGUCCCAGUGCCCGGGGCUUUGCUCAGCUGUCCCUUUGGAAGUGUCCUUGGACUCCCAGUGCCCACACCCACCUGUGUCCUCACAACCACUCUGUUGUCCAUCACCGCACGUGGGCACAACCUGUGUCUUUUGUCUUUCUGGUCCUUGCUGCAUUGCCGGCACUUUGGAAAUGGCUGGCCCAGGCCGGCAGCUGCUGGGCGAGUGGGAGGGGCCGGGCGGUGCGGUAGAGCCCAGCACACCCUGGAUGUGGUUUGUCUUGUGCAACACUUUGUUGAAAACACACUGUCCGUUCUAG